UUGUUAAAUUAUUACAAAUAAUAAUUUUUCUCAUUCUAGGAAACUUGAUAAAUUGAGAUAUGAAUUAAUAAAAGCCUAUGCUGAAAUGGAAACUGAUACACCUGGCACAAUAGAAGGCAUUUCCUCAUCUAAAAGCAAAUAUGAAUAUACAGGCAAAGAAGAAAAAAAGAGUUUCUUGGAAAAAAUCAAAUCUGCAAUAUUUGGUUAGCUUUAUAAUAGUAAUUAUUUUAAAGAAUAUUUCAUUUAGUCAUUAAUAAAUGAUUAGAUGUUGAUGAACUUGCAGUUUCUGAAAGAAUAAAUUAUUUCUGAAAGAUGCCUUUUAAGCAUCAAGAUGUGAAAUAAUAUGAAACUGUGUAUAUUUCUAUAAUGUAUUUCUCUAAAUAUAUAUGUAUGCAAUUUGUAGAUUUAUUUUGGAGUAAUGGUUGCACUUCCUUGUAAAUGCUAACAGGCAAAUUAUAAUAAAGGUAAUGAAAAAUGU